rnacentral:rRNA from 1 species
AUACGGAGGGAGCGAGCGUUAAUCGGAAUUACUGGGCGUAAAGCGCGCGUAGGCGGCAUUGUAAGUCGGAUGUGAAAGCCCUGGGCUUAACCUGGGAAUGGCAUUCGAUACUGCAGAGCUAGAGUAUGGUAGAGGGAAGUGGAAUUUCCGGUGUAGCGGUGAAAUGCAUAGAUAUCGGAAGGAACACCAGUGGCGAAGGCGACUUCCUGGGCCAAUACUGACGCUGAGGUGCGAAAGCGUGGGGAGCAAACAGGAUUAGAUACCCCGGUAGUCC